rnacentral:lncRNA from 1 species
CAAGAAGCAUACUAAAAGUUCGAGACUUAAGAAGAGUUCGUAAAAUCAAAGAGAAAUAUCAAGCAAAAAGCUUAGAACAUCCUAAAACAAAUGAAAGCAACAAUACGUCAACAAUAAGGAAACCAAUGUUGUGUGAAAGUCGUCCAUCUCCAUUUCAUCCAACCAACGUCCGUUGGCGAUGUCAUGCAUAACACGCAUACUAGCACUACUGUUAUUAUGGUCAACAACAAAGGCCCUCGACUUAUAUCCAAGUUCAUCCGCAUUCCUGAGGCGACCUUUUAUGCUAUCUGUCGGGUUCUGUGUCGCGCGUGGGCGCUCCAUACCCUUUUUAGGACGACUCGGUCCACGCUUAAGCGGCACUCGCAGCAGCUGUAUCGUGAGCAGUAGUCUCAUCCCUUGUUGCCAAAGAAGUAUCAACUCCAGUAGCAACUCUAUGCUCGCAGCAACAUGCCUAUCAUCCUCCAGCUGCUAUUGCUGCUUCGGAACAACAUCAUCACCAUGACAGUCUCCAACUACUUGCGGAAAAACCAGCUGUUGUUGGUCAUCCACAACACCCCUAGAAAACACAUCGUCGUGAUGUUCCUCCUGUAAUAGCCCCCACCUUAACUAUGUUAUUAUUUAUUAUAUAUAAUUAAGUUGAGAUAUUAAAUCUUAUAUAUAAAUAAUAGAGAAUUUAGCAAGCCCAAUUACUAUAUAGUAUUAAUUGAUUAAGUGAGAUUGUGUAUACCUAUUUUUUUUUAUGAAGCCCAAUACUUAUUAUUGGGCCAACAAUUUUGUUAGAAUGUGGAAGAGGUCCAUGCCCAAUAGUAACUAUUUGGGCUAGUAUUUGUUUGUAUAUGGAAGAAGCUUGAGCCCAAUUGUGUAUAUGAUUAAUUGAUUAGUUAAUGGCCUCUAAUUAGCUUAUUAAAUUUGCUAAUCCUGAUUAAGUCUUCAGCCAACACGUAGCUUCCAACUUUUUACUCAACUACUUCCAAUUCCAAAACCGACUAUAAGGGUGCCUCCAAUCAUAAACUACAUUUUUAGUUUUUAAAGUAUCACAUCAUUGCCACAUCGGCUUUAGAAACCCACCUACUUUUCUCUUACAUCUCCUCCAACAAUAAACCAAUUUCUUACUUUUUAAGGCCCCACUAUAAUACAUACUCCAUUUUUAUAUAUCUAUACAUACAUUAAUUAUAUUUCAAUUAUAAUUUGUACAUUAUUACAUAUUUAAAUUAUCUAAUAUAAUAAAAUAACUUUAUAAUUCCAUAGGAAAAUUAAAAUUAUAUAAUAAAAGAAAAAAUGAAGUGAACAAGAAAAGAAAAAAAAUGAAUAUUUGUAUGAAAAUGAAAUGAACAAGAAAAAAAAUGAAGUCUUGAAGAGUUGUAUGAAAAUAAAAGAAUGAAUUAGUACAUAUAGAAAAUUUUAAGAAUUAAUCUGUUAUAAAAAUUUAUAUGUUACAAAGUGGUCAAAAAUAGCCGUUUCUCAACAAAUCAAUAUUUGUUUCUAUUCCAAAUGAUAUAGAAAUAGGGGAAUUAGAAAGAAAAAAAAAUACAGAAGUGAAAAUAUAAAAAGGAAAACAAGUGAAUAGAAAAAAUAUGGCUACAUGCAAAAAAGUUGAACUAUACAUAUGGGCUCCUCCAUUUUCGCAUAAAUCAAGAUGAAAGUGGGGCCUCUUGUGUCAGCUAGUUUCUGGUUGCCAACAAGUUUCUCAAAGAAAAUUUAGAAACUGGUUUCCAAAAUCUCCAAUGGUAGUUUUUUGUUUGAGGAAACUUAUAAAAAAAUACUCCCUCCGUCCGCCAAGAUUAUGUAAAAAUUACUAUAUUUGGCGUCCGCCAAGAUUAUGUCACUUUCCUUUUAUGGCAAUGGUCCCACCAUCCUCUAUAAUAUUUUAUCCUUACUAACACUCUUUAUUUACAAAAAACCCACUCAAAAUUCAAUCUCAACCACACAUUUCAUAAAGUGGUGGGACCCUUUCUCCACUACAUCAAAAUCAUCACCAAUUUUAUUAAAUCCCGUGCCCAAGCAAAUUUACAUAAUUUUGGCGGACGGAGGGAGUAUCAUUUUUUAAAAAUGAUAUGUUUUUUAGCCCCUCUUUAAAAACAACUCUUUUGUAUACUAAAAUGAAUUAAAAGACUAAAAUACCAUUUACGGUUCCCACCACUUUAAUUUUCGCGCAACAUUACACGUGCUCACGAUCAUGAUCACGAUGGUGGACACGAUCGUGCCCACGAUCAUGAUCACGAUCGUGUCCACGAUGGGCACGAGCAUGAUCACGAUCAUGCCCACGAUCAUGAUCACGAUGGUGAACACGAUGGGCACGAUCGUGUCCAUCAUCAUGGGCACGAUCGUGUUCAUGAUGGUGGACACGAUCAUACCCAUCAUGCCCACGAUGUACGUGGACACGAUCGUGUCCAUCGUGUCCACGAUCGUGCGCACGUGUCAUGUUGCGCGGAAAUUAAAAUGGUGGGGACCGUAAAGAAUAUUUUAGUCUUUUAAUUUAUUUUGGUAUACAAAAGAGUUGUUUUUAAUGAGGGGCUAAAAAACAUAUCAUUUUUAAAAAAUGGUAUUUAAAAUCUUGAACCCCGUUUAUUUUAGAAAUUGGAAAAAGCAACCGUUGGAGGCACCCUAACUACAAGCAAAACAUCCAUCCAACACACAGAUCACUCACAAUCCUCCACCGCAGUUCACAUCGAUCGAAUAAGGUAGUCUUUCUUUUAUACAUUACAGUAUAUUUAGUAGGUAAAGAAUAGCAACCAACAAGUGAAAAUAGACAUAGCUACACCAGUUAAGCAUAAACAUAGUUACAAGCACAGAAUGAUGUCCCAACCAUCACAGCCUCAGUUUUUCAGCCUCAGUUUUUCAGUAAUCAAUGAAAGAACAUACAUUUACACAACAAGAAAAAGGUAGAAACUUGAGCUGCAGUGUCAAUAGACGGACUGCCUCGAAUCAUUGAUUCCUGAGAUAAAGAAAUAGUUGGAGAUUUAUUACAUAAGUUGCUAAUCUGGAAAAUAGAGAAAGAGGAAAAGAAAAGAAAAUAGAAGAAGGGGAUACGGCAGGAACAACCGUGGCGGGGCGCGUCUGACGGCUGCAACCGCGGUGGCUGCCAACAGAGGGAGAGAGAUGGAGAUGAGCGAGAGACAUAGAGAGAGAGAUGAACGUGGGAGGGAGGCAGAGCGAGAUAAGAGAGAGUGGAGAUGGGAGCAGGGGCGGCGACGCAGCCGCGUCUAGUGGUGGCCACCGCAGAGAGGAGAAAGAGAGAGAGAGAGGUCGAGAGGGAGACCGACAGGGGGCAGAGAGAGAGAGAGAGAUCAGAGAGGGCAGAGAGAGAGAUAGAUCGUGAGAGAGGGAGAAAGCGAGCUUACCUGAGAAGGAAAGGCCGGCGGUGCGACGGACUGGGGCGGCGGCGGCAGCGUUAUUCGCCGGAGAAGUAGAAUCGAAGGGCGAGACUAAAAAACCCUAGGUUGAUUUUGAUUUUAGAUUUAGGAGAAAAGGAUGGGAAAGAAGAGGGAGGCGCCGGAGGCGGCGAAAACCGGCGACCCUCGCCGGAGAAGGAGGGAGAGAGAGAGACGGCAGAGUAGACAGAGAAAGAUAACGCAGAAAGAGUGACGAGCUGCCUAAAGGAAAAGAGAGAGAGAUUAAAGUGUUCUAGAUUAUACUCCCUCCGUCCGCCAAGAUUAUGGCAAUUUGCUUGGGCACGAGAUUUAAUAAAAUUGAUGAUGAUUUUGAAGUAGUGGAGAAAGGGUCCCACCACUUUAUGAGAUGAGUGGUUGAGAUUGAAUUUUGAGUGGUUUUUUUGUAAAUAAAAAGUGUUAGUAAGGAUAAAAUAUUAAAGAGGAUGGUGGGACCAUUGCCAUAAAAGGAAAGUGACAUAAUCUUGACGGACGCCCGAUAUAGUAAUUGUGACAUAAUCUUGACGGACGGAGGGAGUAUUUCUUUCUGUACCAUUUACUCCCUCCAUCCCUCCCUCAAAUAGCUUCUUCUUU